GAUGAAGAACGUAGCGAACUGCGAUAAGUAAUGUGAAUUGCAGAAUUCAGUGAAUCAUCGAGUCUUUUGACGCACAUUGCGCCCCCUGGCAUUCCGGGGGGCAUGCCUGUCCGAGCGUCAUUGCUGCCCAUCAAGCCCGGCUUGUGUGUUGGGUCGUCGUCCCCCCCGGGGGACGGGCCCGAAAGGCAGCGGCGGCACCGUGUCCGGUCCUCGAGCGUAUGGGGCUUUGUCACCCGCUCGAUUAGGGCCGGCCGGGCGCCAGCCGACGUCUCCAACCAUUUUUUUCAGGUUGACCUCGGAUCAGGUAGGGAUACCCGCUGAACUUAAGCAUAUCAAUAAGCGGAGGA
rnacentral:misc_RNA from 1 species